rnacentral:rRNA from 1 species
UGGGGAAUAUUGGGCAAUGGGCGCAAGCCUGACCCAGCAACGCCGCGUGAAGGAAGAAGGCUUUCGGGUUGUAAACUUCUUUUCUCAGGGACGAAGCAAGUGACGGUACCUGAGGAAUAAGCCGCGGCUAACUACGUGCCAGCAGCCGCGGUAAUACGUAGGUGGCAAGCGUUAUCCGGAUUUACUGGGUGUAAAGGGCGUGUAGGCGGGAAAGCAAGUCAGAUGUGAAAACCAUGGGCUCAACCUGUGGCCUGCAUUUGAAACUGUUUUUCUUGAGUACUGGAGAGGCAGACGGAAUUCCUAGUGUAGCGGUGAAAUGCGUAGAUAUUAGGAGGAACACCAGUGGCGAAGGCGGUCUGCUGGACAGCAACUGACGCUGAGGCGCGAAAGCGUGGGGAGCAAACAGGAUUAGAUACC